rnacentral:rRNA from 1 species
UACGGAGGGGGCUAGCGUUGUUCGGAAUUACUGGGCGUAAAGGGCGCGCAGGCGGCUGCUCAAGUCAGGCGUGAAAGGCCUGGGCUCAACCCGGGAAUUGCGCUUGAGACUGGGCUGGCUUGAGUGCGGGAGAGGAUGGUGGAAUUCCCAGUGUAGAGGUGAAAUUCGUAGAUAUUGGGAAGAACACCGGUGGCGAAGGCGGCCAUCUGGACCGCAACUGACGCUGAGGCGCGAAAGCGUGGAGAGCAAACAGG